rnacentral:rRNA from 1 species
ACCAAGCUUAUCGAUACCGUCCAAGAAAAGCCGCUAUUGUGAUACACAUACCCGUACCGUAAACCGACACAGGUGGAUGAGGAGAGAAUCCUAAGGCCGACGGAAGAAGCAUUGUUAAGGAACUCGGCAAAAUGACCCCGUAACUUCGGGAGAAGGGGUGCCAACGAGAGUUGGCCGCAGAGAAUAGGCUCAAGCAACUGUUUAGCAAAAACACAGGUCUAUGCAAAACCGAAAGGUGAGGUAUAUGGGCUGACGCCUGCCCGGUGCUGGAAGGUUAAGAGGAGAGGUUAGCGCAAGCGAAGCUUUGAAUUUAAGCCCCAGUAAACGGCGGCCGUAACUAUAACGGUCCUAAGGUAGCGAAAUUCCUUGUCGGGUAAGUUCCGACCCGCACGAAAGGCGUAAUGAUUUGAGCACUGUCUCGACAAUGCAUCCGGUGAAAUUGAAGUACCAGUGAAGAUGCUGGUUACCUGCGCCAGGACGGAAAGACCCCAUGGAGCUUUACUCCAGCUUGAUACUGGGAUUCGAUACUGUAUGUACAGGAUAGGUGGGAGACGUUGAACAUAGAACGCCAGUUUUAUGUGAGUCGCUGUUGGGAUACCACCCUUGCAGUAUUGGAUUUCUAACCUGCAGCCAUGACCUGGCUGGGGGACAAUGUCUGGCGGGGAGUUUGACUGGGGCGGUCGCCUCCGAAAGGGUAUCGGAGGCGCUCAAAGGUUCCCUCAGAAUGGUUGGAAACCAUUCGAAGAGUGCAAAGGCAGAAGGGAGCUUGACUGCGACACCGACGGGUGGAGCAGGUACGAAAGUAGGACUUAGUGAUCCGGUGGUAUAAAGUGGGAUUGCCAUCGCUCAACGGAUAAAAGCUACCCUGGGGAUAACAGGCUUAUCACUCCCAAGAGUUCACAUCGACGGAGUGGUUUGGCACCUCGAUGUCGGCUCAUCGCAUCCUGGGGCUGUAGCAGGUCCCAAGGGUUGGGCUGUUCGCCCAUUAAAGCGGUACGCGAGCUGGGUUCAGAACGUCGUGAGACAGUUCGGUCCCUAUCUGUCGUGGGCGCAGGAUAUUUGAGACCUCGAGGGGGGG